CCUUGUUCUGGCCUCUGGACAAGGAAAGAAAGUCUCUGUUCAUUCUUGUUUAUACUUCCUAAACUAGUGCAGGAUGGAUAGGGAAAUAAGAGGUUGAGGGGAAUUUUCCCUUGAGCAGGGUCCUUGUUCUUGUAGUGUGGGGAAGGUCUGCACAGCUGACCCUGCUUAGUUAGCUCCUCCAAGUCUCACUUUCCAGCCUUCUCUUGGGCAACUCAGCACCAAAGUUUUUCUCCUCUUGGCCAGAGGUCAGUCAGCAGCUGUUCUGUGGGUGCAUGACUGCAGGUGGAACCUUACUUACCUUGUGCUGCACUGUGAUAGCAUCUCGUCUCCUGGAGUGACUUUUUAAGCAGCCUCCUGAGCCUAAUCAGUAGCACCUGGGAGGGUGGGAACAGCGGCAUCCCCUAAUUGCAAGAUACAUUCCACUUCUGUUCUGCUACCCUCCCUUCCCUUGGGUGCUGCUAUCCCUUUGUGCCUGAGCAAAUGGGAAAAGCAGUCGCUGAGCUCAGUACCCCAACUCUUCCCUGCUCCAGUCCUGCUCUGGGUUCCUGGUAAAGACUCAGGCCUAGCAAAUCACUAUUCUGUCUACCUUAAUUCUUUUCUCUACCCUGUCUCUUACUUAGCUCUUGGUCCAGCCGAGACCUGGGAUAGUGCUUUCCCACUGCACUUUUCUUGGUGUCAAUGUAGCCCCUGUGGAUUGCAGGUGGCUUGCCUGGUGAGGGGUAGCCUGCUUCCCUGCACCUUUUCUUCCAUGACUCCCAGCUAGUUCUGGCCUGGAGAUUGCACCUCUUUCUCUGGCUCAAACAAGAGCCAGGUCUUGAGCCCCAAGUGCCUGCUCCUGGUCUUUUCGCCCUUUCCUCCCUGUGACCCAUCCAUCACCUGCCAGCUAGACAAAAGCUAGCCCUAUGUAUGGCAGGUGGGUCAGGACCCCUGUCCUGUCCCUUUUCAGUCUCUCUUCUGGGGUGCAGGCUCACCAGAAGGUCUGGGGCAUCUGAUCUCAGGUGCCUCCAGGUGCGUUAAAGCUGUUCACAUUCUAGAAGUUUGUCCUUUUGUGGGGUGGGGCUGGUGAGGACUAGCCUGGCCUCAGUUCUCUGCUUAGAGCUCAGCUCCCUGUCAGGGAAGGGAGUCAGCAGGACAGAUCAUAGUGCCUUAUUCCAUUGUCUUCCCUGUCC
rnacentral:lncRNA from 1 species